CCCCGCCCCCACUCCCUUCCUCCCCCUUUACUACCCUCUUAUCCCCUUCCCCUAAAUUUGCACUAAUAACGUGAAACGAACGCUACGGUGCGGGGUAGGGGGUAGGGAGUAGGAGAGGAAAUCGGGAUUAUAUUAAACGUAGAACCCUGGCCGGGAAUUGGGGCAUUAACUUUUCUCUUUGUGCUUAUGGAGCUAAUGGUGCCUCCCCCAUCCACCCUAAAGUAUCCCCCGCCUUUCCUCACCCCUCCCUCUCUCCCUCCUGACUACCCCUACCUCCCCCUGUCAUUCGACUCAAGGUGGGAGGGGGCGAUCAAAGGGAGGGAGGUUUUAGCGCAGGCGCCGCUGACGCUGCGGCGCCAACUGCCUCCAUUCUAGCUUUUCGUGGCGACUGUGGCUGAUGCUGCGAUUGGAAACUUCUGGAAGUGGCAGCGGCAGCGGCGGCAAGCUUCCUUAUGGGGUAUACAUAUGGACUCUACACAUACUGUGCAAUCAGUUUUGUAAUAUUCUUCAUUCAGUUGGUUCCAAGGUAAUCAUAAUAUAGCAUCAAGACAAAUUCGAUCACCUCUCACCUUUGCUAGGUGAAUCAUGGUUGUGGCAGAAAUUAUUCAUCAAAUUCCAGUGACAAGAAAAAAGUUAAGAAGACCAGUGAUGGUUGGGGAUACAGUGGAUUACCUUGGAGACUUUGAUUUUUGACCAAACUUUAAACACUCCACAGGGCCUGCUUCAGCCUCUUUCAUGGCCUUGGAACAAAUUGAUCUCAUCUGCCCAUCCACCAGCAGAAGUUCUUGUGUGCUUGGGAUAGACUUAAGUCCUCUAUGGGAUGGAAACCUGUCAGUUAUCCUCAGCCUGUUUUAGCCUGUCUACAAGAUAGUUUUACCAGUGUGGCUGCUAUGCAUACUGCAGUUGGAGCCAUAAGUACGAGUUGGAUGGCAAGAGAACACCAAAUGUGGAUAAACAGACCUGAAAAUAGCUCAGCAAGCCCUCACAUGAGAUAUACUAGUCCUUUCUGAACACUCCAUACACUAUACAUCCGAAAGUUUGAUGAUAAUAGUUAACAGAGAAAAGACAGGACUAAUCAACUAAGUUUGCUUCUUUUUGUUGUUAAUGGGAUGAUCUUUGGACAGAAAGCACAGAACAAAACUGUCUAAUAAGCAAUGAAGACCUAAAAUAAAAUAUGAUAAGAAAA